rnacentral:lncRNA from 1 species
AAGCAACCACUGCUCCUAGGAAAAAAUCACCAGUUAGAAGCAGUGCUCUCAAAUUUCCAGAAGUCAGUGCCCCUUGAACAACUGUUGGUGUUGAGAAUGUGGUUUCAGAGGCCGCGCUUUGGGUAGCAUAAGUACCAUCAGCAAGAAUCACGGGUUUUCUAGAGGACACCAUGGCAGAAGAGGUUGGCUGAAUCUUCUUUGAUGUCUCAGUUGGCGCAGAUUCCUCAGAAACAGAGUAGAAUGGUAACUCACCAAGGCAUUGCUUAAUGGUCGAAAUGCCAUUCUCAACUUCCGAAAGUGAAAGGCAAUACUCCCCAAUGAUCCACAGUGCACAAGGGCAGACCUUUCCAGCGCGGAUCUGAUAGAACGUGUCCAGCAACCUGGUAAUGAUUGAAACUCUCAACUUGGGAUUUGUUUCAAUUAUCUCUCUAACAAAUGAAAUCACGUCAAGUGCUGAAGCCACAUUGCUAUCUCCCAAGAAAUCCAUUAGAAGAUGGACCACUGUGCUUGCAACUUCGGGGAACUUAACUGCACAAGCAUGAAUUGCUUGAAUAAGCAUUUGCCUGUACUCUCCAUUCUUCUCAAGCUCUCCACUCUGUGUCUUCACGACUUCUUUCUUCAACAUUUGAACGACCUCAUUGAUAUUGUGAUGAGUAAUCAAGUCAAGGGCAAUGUCAAGUGUCUUCUUGCGGAUAUCAAGGUUCGGGCUUGAGAGUGCUCUGAGAACAUCUAUUAUCAACUCAACCAUGAUAUCUCUGUGCAAUGACUUAAGCUCACUCAACCGAUCGAGUAAAAUAAGCUUCACAUUGUUGUCACUCUGAGAAAGAAGAAGUAGACAGUAGGUGUUGGCAGCAGCUCUAAUAGCAGUAGGGGCAGACGAGAGAGAAACAAGAGUCCCAGCACAUUCAUAGAUAACUGCAGAAGAAGUGGCGCUUAACAGAGAAAUAAUAAUCUUAAUAUAUUUCCCCUUCUCUGUUGGUUUAGUCUUACAGACACUUCGAAUCAACUCCAGCACCACCAUCUGAAGCGAUUCAUUCCAGUCUGAAACCUUGUCAACAUUGCUCAGAAGAUAAUUCACAGCUCGUUCUUCAGCACAGGUAAAGAGCAUUAGAAAUGCAUUUCUCUUGGCAGACGGAUCUUGUUCUGUUGACAGAGCUUUCUCGAUCAUUUCAGGUGCAUCAACGAAGAGUUGGUCGCCAUUUGGAAGCUUAUAUAUCGACAUGAUGGCCACUCACCUAAGUAAAGCCAUAGGAGAUAAGGAGAACACGAGAAUCUGGAAGGACCCUUGGCUCAGCUCAACGAAACCAAUGAGACCGAUAGGACCCGUCACAGAAGACAACCAAGACCUAGUUGUCGCUGAUCUGCUUUGCAGAGGGAGCAUGGAAUGGAACGUGAGUAAGAUCAAGAGCAUACUCCCUCAAUACCUGAAUACGAUUCUGAGCAUUAAACCGAGCAUCACAGGAUUACAAACUCAUAUGUUUGGUUAGCGUCAAGGUCGGGUUUGUACUCUGCAAUAUCUGGGUACUAUGCCGCUAUAACAAUGGAUCAACACACCCCUACAGCCAACCAUAUCCUGUAUAAGACCAUCUGGAACAGCAAAGUGUCCCCAAAACUUCAACUUUUCCUUUGGAAAAUAGUCCCUGGAGCUAUCACCAUAGGAGAGAAUCUAGCAAAACGAGGCCUCCUCGCUAACAUUACAUGCCGGCACUGUGGAGAACUAGAGACCACUGAGCACAUCUUCCUUCACUGCAACUUCACCAGACAAGUAUGGGCCUCACAAUUAUGGAAGCUGAAUUUCAAUCCGUCGGAUUGUGCAUCCUUCAGUGAAGCCCUCCUCUUGUCUGCCGGACAGACAAACCUUCCACCGUUGGGAGUAACAUGAAACUUUUUCCCUUGGAUUUGUUGGGGAAUUUGGACAGCAAGAAACUACCGGAUCUUCGAAAGCAUAGAUACUUCACCUGCGGAAAUCCUCGCAAAAUCCAUUAGGAAUGCAAGAGAAUGGGCGAAUUCCCAAUCUAUCUCCCCUUCGACUCACCAUAGACAAAACCUGCAUAUUCCUCCAGUUAACUCUGCAGUUAUAGAUUGUUUUACUGAUGCGGCAUGGCAGGUAACGACGACAGAGCAGGCUGUGGCUGGAUAUUCAUAAGUCAACAAAAGAAACGUCUACUACAAGGCACUACCACCUUCGCUCACACAGCAUCUACACUUGUGGUUGAAGCCUUAGCCGUUAGAUCAGCUCUCCUCCAUGCCCUAGAAGCGGGCUUCUCAAAAAUCUGUAUUAAAUCAGAUUAUCAAACACUUGUUGCUGCUAUCUUCUCGAAGUAUCACCCGACGGAUCUCUACGGAAUCACUCUGGACAUGGAGCACCUCUCUGUAUCCUUUGAUUGUAUUGCUUUUACUUUUAUUUCCAGAAACUUGAAUGUCUUGGCACUUGCUAAAUCAGUUUUGUAUGCGGCUUUAGCCAACUAAACCUUCGGUUGGUCUGCUUCUUUUUAAUAUAUUGGUGUUCAGAAAAAAAAGAUAGUUGAGAUUUAAAGAAACACACUAUCAAUUAUUGUCGUUCUAAGAACCACUGGUCCUGCCUCUUUCUUUCUUUCUUCACCAAUAAAAGUGGUCCUGCUCUGUCUUAUUUGCAUCUCUAAUAACGUUUCUCAUAAUAGCUGCUAUAGACCCAGACUAUAGUGGAUAAACAAAAAAAUAGAACACGACAAAGCAUUUCACCAAAAUCAUGGUUUAAUCUUCCCCAACAAAUGACAUUAUAUAGAGAAAAAAAACAUUACAAAUAACAUGAAAUCGUCCAAGUACUAUAAAACGAAGAACACACUCAGCCGUAUGAGUAAGAACCAAUCCGUACCAUACCGGAAACUAUACCGGCCAAGGUGUGAUAACAGAUUAAUCUUUACAUUAUUGCUUAAAGUCUUAAACGCUUCCCUCCGUAGUAAACAGGUUAAACAAACAAAAAAAUUGCUCUAAGAGAGAAACGAACGUAGUUUAAACCUGUUUACCUUGUGCCCCACCAUUCCAAGCCUGUAACAAUCAAUUUGGGUAUGGUAAGGUGUGAGGAUUCAAGAUGAAUAGAUCAAAGUGGAAAACAAGAACUAGCUAACCUUAGCUACUACCCUUUUGUUUGAGGGUGAUCUUGUCCCCAAGACUUAGAGCAAUCCCUUGGGUCUUGCUCCUUAUCCUUAUGUAGCCACUCAAUGCUCCGUCUGUUUGCUUCUCGAUACUCACGUUCACAAGAGCAUCCUCACCAAACACACUUUUUGCGUAUAAGUUUGCUGCAAGGAACCCACAUUCUCCUUCUAGUUCAGAUCUGCAAAUAGAGAGAAGCAUUAAUUAGUAAGAAGAGUUUCGGCCUAUAAGAGAAGAAAGAAGAAUCUGAACUUACGGGCCAGUGAGACACUUCAUGUUUGUAGAUUUGAUUAUGUGGUCGAGGAACUCUCUUUCGUUCUCAAUCUUGGUGUUCACAGCAACCUGACAUGAAGACCACAACGCAAAUGGUUAAACACCAAACUCCAAACAAAGUGUAAAAGGUUUUGUGUGUGACCUUGUUCUCCCAUUCAAACUCUGCCCACAUGGUUCUGAAAGCAACAUCCGAGCAAACAGCAGGGGAGAUAUAGUCCAUGAUAUCAAUGUGAAUGUCGUUAAGAACCACGACGUUUCGCUCCAUCACAUUUGAUGUCUCAUACACGAUGUUCCCGAAUAUGACUCCGGUCUCUGUGGACGACACCUUGAUGUUUGCUUUUAUCUGCAUGCUCGUUGCAGGAGCAAGACUAUAGUUUUGAGGACGCUCAACAAGCUUGAGAUCACCCAUGGUUGCUAACUCCAAGCACAGAUUCUGAAGAGUUUCCUUUGUACGGUUGAUAACAGUAACUUCGAGUGCGAUGUCGUAGUGGUGGACAGUCACAUAUGCUUCAGCAUAGACUGGGUCACUGAAUCCUGUGAGUUGAAGAAUGCGGUUGAGUUUGUUCGCAUCGUUCUCGUCUUUUGUGAACUCUCCAGUAGCACGCUUCAGGUCAUCUUGUACCUGGUCUUCCAACUCAAGUUGACUCAUUCCCUGAAAAAAAAAACUUAUCAUCAGAAAUUUGAUCUACUGACAGAUUUUUAAAAACGUAACCAGCCACUAUAAACUUCUGUUGUCAUUCUUCAGUUUGAGAAAAUAAAAUAAUCGGAUUUAACUGUAAAAGAGAGCAGACAUCUACGUGUAAGAACAGAACAGAUUGCAAGGAACUCAUAAUAGUAAUUAAAAACAAUGAGGCAAGCGAUAGUUUGGAAAGUAAUAUUACCUUCCGGCUCUUUAGAUGGAAGAAGUCAAUUAGAUCAUCAGGUUGCGCAUGAGUUGUUUGGGUCUUUGCCUUAAGUUCCUCCAUCUCUCUAAGUUGUUUUUCAGAAAUCAUCUUGACAAAACUCUGGCGGCAGGAUUCCAACCAUAUCUUUUUCAUCUCAUCAUUCCUAUGGCAAAGCAGUUUUAUGCACAGCACAAUCCUCUCAUAUGAAUCAUUAUCAAUAGGGUGUGGGGAAGCAGGAGACUGCCCAAGUUGCAACAUGGAAACCAUGAUCAGCAAGGCCUGUGUGACUGUCUUGUUCACUUCUGUUUUAGAUGACUGAACCUCCUCCAACCUAAGAACAAGCUUGGUCAAUGUGCAAGCAACCACUGCUCCUAGGAAAAAAUCACCAGUUAGAAGCAGUGCUCUCAAAUUUCCAGAAGUCAGUGCCCCUUGAACAACUGUUGGUGUUGAGAAUGUGGUUUCAGAGGCCGCGCUUUGGGUAGCAUAAGUACCAUCAGCAAGAAUCACGGGUUUUCUAGAGGACACCAUGGCAGAAGAGGUUGGCUGAAUCUUCUUUGAUGUCUCAGUUGGCGCAGAUUCCUCAGAAACAGAGUAGAAUGGUAACUCACCAAGGCAUUGCUUAAUGGUCGAAAUGCCAUUCUCAACUUCCGAAAGUGAAAGGCAAUACUCCCCAAUAAUCCACAGUGCACAAGGGCAGAC